rnacentral:tRNA from 1 species
GGGGAUUUAGCUUAGCGGUAGAGCGCUUGCCUAGCAAGUGCAAGGCCCUGGGUUCGGUCCCCAGCUCCG